GAUGAACGCUGGCGGCGUGCCUAAUACAUGCAAGUCGAGCGAACAGACGAGGAGCUUGCUCCUCUGACGUUAGCGGCGGACGGGUGAGUAACACGUGGAUAACCUACCUAUAAGACUGGGAUAACUUCGGGAAACCGGAGCUAAUACCGGAUAAUAUAUUGAACCGCAUGGUUCAAUAGUGAAAGACGGUUUUGCUGUCACUUAUAGAUGGAUCCGCGCCGCAUUAGCUAGUUGGUAAGGUAACGGCUUACCAAGGCAACGAUGCGUAGCCGACCUGAGAGGGUGGUCGGCCACACUGGGACUGUGACACGGUCCAGACUCCUACGGGAGGCAGCAGUAGGGCAUCGUCCGCCAUGGGCGAAAACUUGACGGAGCAACGCCGCGUGAGUGAUGAAGGUCUUCGGGUCGUAAAACUCUGUUAUUAGGGAAGAACAAAUGUGUAAGUAACUAUGCACGUCUUGACGGUACCUAAUCAGAAAGCCACCGCUAACUUCGGGC
rnacentral:rRNA from 1 species